CGCGCUCGCCCGCCCGCCCCUCGACUCGCGAGGGCGUAAAAGUUUGUCUCAGCUCGAGCAUUCCUAGCGCCAACACGCCCUCAGGUAAAGGUGGAAGUAAAUGGCCACGCUGUAUUGACAGAGCAGGUAGAUGAAACUCAAGAGAAAAGGUGUGGAUAAAUGAAACUAGCCCAUGAUGAACCUGUUUUCUCCGUGACCACAAUAUUAACCAGGAUGAAUGGCGGUGGCAGUGGGCCUGCAUCACAGGUUGCAGCAGAUGUUCUCAAUAUUUCUAUUAAAAUUUCCUUAUUUCCAUAUGCAAGAGGAGCCCCAGAGCUGCAUCCUUAUGGUAGCUACCAUGCCGUGAUGUAAGCUGCCAUUCACUGGGGAGCUUUGGCAAUAGAAUUGGCUAGAUCAGGAAGCCUAUGUCAACUAUGGAACAACAACUUGCAGCUCAUCUCUAUUGAUGAUACACUGCCUCUAGGACUGGGACAGAUAGCCACUGAGUACCUGCUUCAAAUCACCCUGCACGUUUUCUCUUUGGAAAGAUAAGCACUGGAGAACCAUCUCGUUACCUUCAGCAGAAAUGGAAACAAAUCAAGACAUUAAGAAUGCCGCAGUGGACAGCAGUUAUGCAAGGUUCAGCAGAGGAAGUUUUCAAGAUGGUGUGCCUCACUAGCCAGAAAUCAGAAAAGAUCGAAGCUAGCCUUUUCAUCUCAGCUGCUCCUUAAAUCAGUGCAACCCCUCCAAAUUAAUGUGAAUUGAAACUUGCAUUGCUUUUCAACUUAAUUGAAUACUUACUAUAUGUGAACCACUGCACAAAAUAGGGGAAGAAGAUGUGGGAGACAAAGAUGUGGAGCCUGUCUUCAAUAAAUUUACAGUUAGUUUCAGGGUACAUUGUUUUUCUUCUGCUGUUAAUUAGGUGUAUCCCCAAGACAAUAAAUACAUGAAUGGAAAAGUAUAUUCUGUGUUUUAAGUCUCUUUAAUAAAAAACAAAACAAAAUCCAAAAAAACUCCUAACAUGGCAACUCAGGACAUUUUAAUCCUUUUUUUUGUUGUUGGGCUUCUGAUAGGAUCCAUUUUAUUGAUUCCAUAAAUAUUUAGUAGACUUUAGACAUAUUAAUACAUUGUAGUUUGAGUUAAUUUGCAUUAAAUUCUGUUUUUUUCCCCUUAGGUAUAGAUUGUCUGUUGGAAAAAUAUAUUGCUUGUGGAUUUCUUGGGGAGUGGGAAGGUGAAUUAUACCUGUUGUCUCUACAGUCCACUACCUUCCACACCCUAGGGCAGUGGUCCCCAACCUUCUUGGCACCAGGGAUCAGUUUCCUGGAAGACAAUUUUUCUGUGGAUGGUGUGGGGAUGGUUUUGGGAUGGAACUGUUCCACCUCAGAUCAUCAGGCAUUAGUUAGGCUCUCAUAACGAGUGCGCAGCCUAGAUCCCUCACAUGCACAGUUCACAGUAGGGUUUGCGCUGCUAUGAGAAUCUAAGGCUGCCACUGAUCUGACAGGAGGCAGAACUCAGGUGGCAAUGCUUACUGGCCCACUGCUCACCUCUUGCUGUGCGGCCUGGUUCCUAAUAGGCCAUGGACCCCCACAGACGGGUACUAGUCUGCAGCCUGUGGACCCCAGCCCUAGGGGCCUGCCAUUCUGAGUGAGUUAUUAGCAUGAAGAAGAGGAAGAUCUGGAUCAAACGUGGGUGAUGGUACUCAGAGACCCAAGAUAGGAUAGGGAUGGAACAAAAUCCAUCUGGGCAACGGCUCUAUGAAAAUUUGGCUAAGUAAUUAUUUCAGUAUUCAUUGUAUUCAUUGUCCUUCGUGUUCCAUAAGUUAAAUGACUGUCUAAUUUUUCCAAAAAUUUAUUUCUGACUUGAGAAUAAGUGUGUCAUGAUUUUCCCAGUGUAAAGACACUGAUAUAACUGUAGAUACCAGACAUUUUAUGUAGUGUCUAUGACACAUUUUAGUAUGUAUGAGCCAACAAUAGACAUGUCUUUGUCUUGAGGAGUGUCCAUCUGAAUUGAAAAUGUGUCAGCUUUUUUUUAACAUCAUCAACAGACUUCUUAAUUAAGCUGCCAAUACAUACUGCCAAUAGCACUGUGUGCUGUCUGAGAAAUGCAUUGUGUAAGUGCUAUUUCCAUCUUAUUAAAUAAACAAUGUUGCUCUGUAUAAACUGGAUUUAAAGUGUUCUUUGAAUGAGGCAUUAUAUUGCUCCAUAAAUAAUGUGAUGUGAAUUCUCAUAUGAUCCCUUUUAACUUAAUUUCUAAAAAAAUAUUAUUUGCUCCUCAGUAAGGAAUAGCUCUAAUUGGACUGGUAACUUUAGUGAUAUGAUUUGUCUGUAACAGGCUGAAUCGCCCCACUCCCAAACUCCUGGUCGUGAUACUGGAUAUUUGUUAUGCCACUUUUAGUUUGCAUGAGGUAUCUUCCAGGAAGUAUUAGUUAUUAACUUGUGUUCUACUAAACUGUAGAUAUUUAUUUCCUGUUCUGGAAGAUUUCUUGGAGUGUCCAUCUGUGCAUUCCUGGUGCCUAGUGUAGUCUUGCUAAUGGAAUAGCACCUUUAUUGGUGCUACUUAGGGGUUGGUAGCUUACAAUCAAUCUAC
rnacentral:lncRNA from 1 species